rnacentral:rRNA from 1 species
GAUGAACGCUAGCUACAGGCUUAACACAUGCAAGUCGAGGGACCGGCGCACGGGUGAGUAACACGUAUCCAACCUGCCCUUUACUCGGGGAUAGCCUUUCGAAAGAAAGAUUAAUACCCGAUAUAAAGGAUGGGGAUGCGUUCCAUUAGGUUGUUGGUGAGGUAACGGCCCACCAAGCCUUCGAUGGAUAGGGGUUCUGAGAGGAAGGCCCCCUGCAUUAGAUCAGCGACACGGUCCACACUCCUAGGGGAGGAAGGAGUAAGGUAUAUUGGACAAUGGGCGUUAGACUGAACCAGCCAAGUAGCGUGAAGAAUAAAGGCUUAUGGAUCUUGAGCUUCGUUGAUAGAAGAAUAUGUAUUAUAUGAAUAAGGAUCCGCUAACUCCGUGCCCGCCGCCGCGGUAAUAC